AGAAAAGGACCAUGGAGCAGAUGAUGCCAACUAUUGUGAACACUAGCCCCAUGAUGAUGGCAACUGGGUUCACUAGUGAGGUCUCCGGCCGGGGGCAGCGUCGGCCACGUGGAGGGGACGAAGCAAAUACGCAGUGAAGGCAGGCAGGCGUAAUGGCUGGAGUCAUUGUGACCAAAAUUGAAAUACGAGGCAGCCUCAAAGUGGAAACCACAUGCUAAACCAGAAGGAUACAAGAGC